rnacentral:rRNA from 1 species
GUGGGGAAUAUUGGACAAUGGGCGAAAGCCUGAUCCAGCAAUGCCGCGUGAGUGAUGAAGGCCUUAGGGUUGUAAAGCUCUUUUGCCCGGGAAGAUAAUGACGGUACCGGGAGAAUAAGCCCCGGCUAACUCCGUGCCAGCAGCCGCGGUAAUACGGAGGGGGCUAGCGUUGUUCGGAAUUACUGGGCGUAAAGCGCACGUAGGCGGCUUCGCAAGUCAGAGGUGAAAGCCCGGGGCUCAACCCCGGAACUGCCUUUGAGACUGCGUCGCUCGAAUCCGGGAGAGGCGGGUGGAAUUCCGAGUGUAGAGGUGAAAUUCGUAGAUAUUCGGAAGAACACCAGUGGCGAAGGCGGCCCGCUGGACCGGCAUUGACGCUGAGGUGCGAAAGCGUGGGGAGCAAACAGGAUUAGAUACCCUUGUAGUCC